CCAUCGGUGGUUCAGUGGUAGAAUGCUCGCCUACCACGCGGCCGGCCCGGGUUUGAUUUCCGGCCGAUGCA
rnacentral:tRNA from 1 species